rnacentral:rRNA from 1 species
UGUAUCAGGGCUUAUUAAAUUAAGAUUAAGGCUUUAUUUAUCUCGAAUUUAAAAGAGCUAUACACGAAUAUAUAUUAAUGUAGAAUAAUUAUUUGUAAUUUGUGUAUUGUAAUGAAACGUUAUUCGUUUUUAAAUAUAUCUAGUUUUCUAAGAAAUUAAUUAAAUUUAGUAACUGUUUAAUAUUUUUAUUAAUUUUUAUUUAUAUAUUAAUAGUUGUUAAUAUCUAAGGGGAUGAGCUUUUAGAUAAAUACUUAUAAGAUUUUUUUGAUUCGAUAAUUUGUAGGAUUAGAAUUUUCCAUCUAUAAAAGGAUGUUAUAAUUUAUUAUUGAGGAAUAUGAUUUAUAUUUUCUUUAAGUUUUUUAUUAGAAUGAUGAUACUAAUUUUUAGUAUUAUGAAAUAAUGAUUAGAUUAGUAUAAUUGGUUGUAAUAUUAAGUUUGGAGUGAAAGGUUAUUAAAAGGAACUCGGCAAUUUUAAUUUUCACCUGUUUAAUAAAAACAUGGCCUUUUGAUGAUGAUUUAAGGUCUUACCUGCCCAAUGAUUUUUCAAUGGCCGC